GUAUAAUGAUGAAACCCAUGCGUGUCAGCUGACUCUGUACACCACUGGUUUGUUUUUGAUCUCACUGGCGUUCUGUUGGCUUGAGUCCUAAACACAGCAGGGAUCCAGAGGCAUGAUCAUACAUCACUACUGAGUAC
rnacentral:snoRNA from 1 species